UCGGAUAGGGUGUAACGGCUAACAUUGCUGCCUCUCAUCCCAACCUUUCUCGAGAGUUUGGUCCGCAGCAGCUCGGGGUUCGAUUCCCCGUAUCCGAA